rnacentral:rRNA from 1 species
GACGAACGCUGGCGGCGUGCUUAACACAUGCAAGUCGAACGAAGUGGCGAACGGGUGAGUAACGCGUAAUCAACCUGCCCUUCAGAGGGGGACAACAGUUGGAAACGACUGCUAAUACCGCAUACUGAAGGAGGGGAGUGCGUCUGAUUAGCUAGUUGGAGGGGUAACGGCCCACCAAGGCGAUGAUCAGUAGCCGGGCUGGGAGAAUGAACCGCCAAAAUGGGACUGAUGCACGGCCCAGACUCCUACUGGAGGCAGCAGUGGGGAAGCUUCCGAAAUGGACGAAAGUCUGACGGAGCAACGCCGCGGUAGUGAUGACGGCCUUCGGGUUGUAAAGCUCUGUUAAGCGGGACGCGGUACCGGAAUAGAAAGCCACGGCUAACUACGUGCCAGCAGCCGCGGUAAUUC